rnacentral:lncRNA from 1 species
CCAGCUGCUCGACCCGGGGCCAUCCCUGGCCAAUCAAGGCUUGUCAGGGUGUCUUCUGGCCGGUCAGGCCUUGAAGCGGGCGCAGCCUCCAGCCAUCCAGGGCCUGGAGGAAUCUCUUGGCCAAUCAAGGAUUUGGGCUUCUAUGUGGUUAAUCAGGUGUUGAGGGUAUUUUUUGUCCAGUCAGGGUCUGAGCAUAGUCAAUCAGGGUAUUUCUGAGUAAUCUGAGGCUAAGGUCAUGUCCUUUCCCGUGAGGCCUUGGUUCAGAACCCCAGGAUGGACCACAAAUCACUUCCUAUUGAUGGGGAUGGUGGGGUCCUGUCCCAGGAAGCCACCUCCUCCCUUUCCAGAGC